GCCUGCGGGAGAGACGCAGCUCGUCACCGGCAUCUUCCAAGCCUCGGCAGAGAGCCCAAACCGCUUUGUGCGCGCUCGCACGGCGCCCUCCCCACCCCGGGAAGAAAUUCGGGUGCUGCAUCCUUCCUCCCUUGGAGGCACUGCCAGAAACCACGGCAUAACCCUCCCCGAGACCUAGAAGAGACCCCCUUGCUUACUGUCCUUUUCCAAGUUGUUUCUACCACAAGUAAAACAUUUGAACCGGC